rnacentral:lncRNA from 1 species
AAAACUUUCCAAAACAGGACAGAAAUGAGGUGGCAAGGCGAACCAGGUUGUUUUGCCACGUGUGCGUACAUGUGGCAGGAUUUAAAGAGGUAUGGCUCAAAUUGGGUCUGAUGUGAUCAAACGAUUGGGAAAUUAGGUACUUAAGGAUGGUUUCCUUUCAUUUGGAAAAGAGCCAAAACCAGGGGAGAGGGAGAGAGAAAGUUGAGUAUGAGUGGGAGAGUGAGAGAGGGAGCAGAGAACGGCAGUCCGAGAGGGAUGAGGAGAGAGCGGCAGAGGCACAAGAUCAGGAAGAAGAAGAUGACAGUAAAGGGAAAAGAGAGAGAUCUACAGACGUUAUGCAGAGAGAGAGAGAGAGAGAGAGAGAGAGAGGGAGAGAGAAGAGGAAAAAAAGAAGAAAGAAGAAGAAAAAGGCACAGUGACUUGGCAUGUGCGGUAGAAAAGGUGACUCCGCGCGCAGCG